UCCGUAGGUGGAUAAUUAAGUCAGAGGUGAAAUCCUGCAGCUCAACUGUAGAAUUGCCUUUGAAACUGGUUAUCUUGAGUCAUUAUGAAGUGGUUAGAAUGUGUAGUGUAGCGGUGAAAUGCAUAGAUAUUACACAGAAUACCGAUUGCGAAGGCAGAUCACUAAUAAUGUACUGACACUGAUGGACAAAGCGUGGGUAGCGAACA
rnacentral:rRNA from 1 species